GACGAACGCUGGCGGCGUGCCUAAUACAUGCAAGUAGAACGCUGAAGGAGGAGCUUGCUUCUCUGGAUGAGUUGCGAACGGGUGAGUAACGCGUAGGUAACCUGCCUGGUAGCGGGGGAUAACUAUUGGAAACGAUAGCUAAUACCGCAUAAUAGUAGAUGUUGCAUGACAUUUGCUUAAAAGGUGCAAUUGCAUCACUACCAGAUGGACCUGCGUUGUAUUAGCUAGUUGGUGGGGUAAUGGCUCACCAAGGCGACGAUACAUAGCCGACCUGAGAGGGUGAUCGGCCACACUGGGACUGAGACACGGCCCAGACUCCUACGGGAGGCAGCAGUAGGGAAUCUUCGGCAACGGACGGAAGUCUGACCGAGCAACGCCGCGUGAGUGAAGAAGGUUUUCGGAUCGUAAAGCUCGGUUGUAAGAGAAGAACGAGUGUGAGAGUGGAAAGUUCACACUGUGACGGUAUCUUACCAGAAAGGGACGGCUAACUACGUG
rnacentral:rRNA from 1 species